UGGGGAAUUUUGGACAAUGGGCGAAAGCCUGAUCCAGCAAUGCCGCGUGUGUGAAGAAGGCCUUCGGGUUGUAAACCUCUUUUAGCAGGGAAGAAGCGAAAGUGACGGUACCUGCAGAAAAAGCGCCGGCUAACUACGUGCCAGCAGCCGCGGUAAUACGUAGGGCGCAAGCGUUAUCCGGAAUUAUUGGGCGUAAAGAGCUCGUAGGCGGUUUGUCGCGUCUGCUGUGAAAUCCCGAGGCUCAACCUCGGGUCUGCAGUGGGUACGGGCAGACUAGAGUGCGGUAGGGGAGAUUGGAAUUCCUGGUGUAGCGGUGGAAUGCGCAGAUAUCAGGAGGAACACCGAUGGCGAAGGCAGAUCUCUGGGCCGUAACUGACGCUGAGGAGCGAAAGGGUGGGGAGCAAACAGGCUUAGAUACCCUGGUAGUCCACCCCGUAAACGUUGGGAACUAGUUGUGGGGUCCAUUCCACGGAUUCCGUGACGCAGCUAACGCAUUAAGUUCCCCGCCUGGGGAGUACGGCCGCAAGGCUAAAACUCAAAUGAAUUGACGGGGUCAUAGCUGUUUCCU
rnacentral:rRNA from 1 species